AUAUACCAAAUUUUACCAGAAAUAUUUACUUGUUCUGAUAUAAGAUAGUGAAUCUUAUUUAGAAAAGUUAAAAUUCGGCAAACGUAAAAUCUGGUAAAAUUAUUCUUAUUGGAUGGUCCUAGGAAUGGUCAAAUGAUCUGGUAUGAACAUUACUUUAAUUGUAAAAUUGCAACAUAAUAGGAUAUAUUGCCUACGAGGAUUGUAGCCAGCAGUGGAAGAAUUAAUUAGUGUGAUUAACUGUCAGACAAAGUUUGUUUUUGUUUUUUAUUGCUUUUCGCUGCACUGUUGUAUUCUGGGAAGUUUUGUCUUUCUGUGUAAGGGUUUCUAAACCGU